UGAUAGCCCCAGAGACUGCAGCCCUCAAUUCAUCCACAGAAUAAGUACAGCAAGGCAAUAAAAGUGCAGGUUUCCCCACACCAAGCCUGCCAGCAUGCCUCAGCUCUUUGCUUGUCUUCACUACCAGGGAGAUCAAUGCUGCUUCAAUCAAUGUUGAUUUAACGGGUCUAGU
rnacentral:sRNA from 1 species